UUGAAUGCUCACAACUUGAUUAUGCCA
rnacentral:piRNA from 1 species